rnacentral:lncRNA from 1 species
UGCCUGUUCUAUUGUUACAGAGGUGGACAUCUGCAACUUGGUGGACAUCACCAUGUUCAUUUAAAUGUGUGAGAAAUACAAUGUGUGGCGUGUGAGCGUGUGAACGGGUGGGAAUGCAUGUGUCACACGCUGAAUGCAUGAGACUUGAGAGCCCUGUCUCAGUGUUUCAGAAACUUGAUGGUUGCCCUAGGAAAAACAUGGCCACUGAAUCCAGUGAAGGUGACAAACACAAAAAAGGUAAAGAAUGUGCUAUCCAUUGCACUACUAGGAGGUGGCGAUAUAAACCUUUUCUUCCAUCAAUCAUCAUGGGAAACAUCAACUCUCUGCCCAACAAAAGCGAUGAGCUGGAGAUAUUGGCGAAGACUGAGAAAGCAUACCAUGAGUGCAGUUUCCUGUGUUUUACUGAAACCUGGUUGAAUCAAAACAACUCGGACUACAGUGUGGAUCUACCUGGCUUCACUCUUGUUGUACUAUUGAGUUAAAAUGUUUUCUUAUAUUUUUCUAAGUGUAUCUUAUUCAAUUUGCUUUGUUAUUUACUUUGUAUGUAAAUAAAAUGUUGAACUAAUCUCUAGUUUCUUUAGUUUUUAGUACAGAUGCUGUGGUGAGACGCCUCCACCUCUUGCUUUAUUUUGGUUGGACUUCCUGUUUUUUCUUUGUUUCCCUGGUCUGGCUUGACUAUGUUUCAGAGCACCCUCCCCCUCCCCGGUCGCUUAGGCUGAGUGAGACUCCACACCUGCACUGCAUCUACAAUCAAGGCCAGCAGCCCUCAGUCUCAGCGCCUGAGUAUUGUCUUCACUCCUGAGUGGUACAGACGCAUCUCCUGGCCUUCUUCUCGGAUAAGUGCUCGUGACUUUGCUCCCUGUGAAUUUUUGUAUGUCUUCUCACUUCCAUCUCCUCUGUUUCUCCACAGUGUCUCCAGCCUGCCAGAAAACCGGACUUUCCUCGUGUCUUUAUUCCCCUGAGUUUGGACAUUAAAAUUACAUGUUUAAUUUGCUAUCUGUCUCUAUGUCUGCUUCUGGGCCCACAAGAUCCAACGCACGCUACAGAAUACUCAGGCCAGGAAAAUCGACCUAGCAGACCCAGACAGGUUCCAGCAAGCCAUCCACAAGCUUGGGGCUCGCCUCGGUCAGCAUGAGGAUAUGCUCCAGAGCCUCAAUCAGUACUUCCAAGGUCUCUCCAUCCAAGUAGCACAACUGGCGGAUCAACUCCUCUCUCGGCUUCCACCGCAGAAAUCUGGGUCUCCCCCCUCUGUGAGUACGGUUCCCUCUCCACCUUCUCCACCCUCUCCUAACAUCAAAGAGCCCUAUGUCCCUCCUCCUGAGCUGUAUGCUGGGGAGAUUGGGGGCUGCAGAGGUUUCCUGCUCCGUUGUGCUUUAGUGUUUGAUCAACAGCCAAUUAGUUAUCCCUCGGAUCAGUCCAAGAUUGCCUACUGUGAACCUGUUAAGAGGCAAAGCCGUUAAGUGGGCUACUGCCAUUUGGGAGAAAGAUUUGCUGAUGUUGUCCUCAUACGCCAGAUUCACAGAGGAACUUUGUAAGGUGUUUGGUUAUCCUGUCGAGGGUCCCGAAUGUACUUAAUGGUUGUUUUCCCUCACCCAGGGCUCUCGGUCUGUGGCGGAAUUCUCUAUUGAGUUCCACACAGUGGCUGCCAAGAGUGGGUGGUGGGAACUAGAGUUAAAGGGUGUAUUCUCUCAUGGUCUGUCCGAACAGCUAAAAGAUGAAUUAGCUGCUCAUGAUGAACCCUCCUCACUUGAGGAGCUCAUCGCGUUAGCCAUAUGGUUAGACAGUUGCCUCAGGGAGAGAUGAAGGGAAAAAUAAUUGAAUUCCCCUACCUGUAGCGUAGACUCCCCAUCCUCUGUCGUGGUCAGCGGGUCUCCUUUGCAGCCCUCUGUUCAUCUGGAUCCGGCGUCCUCUGCCGGGGAACCCAUACAAAUCGGCCGCACCAAAUUACACCCAAGGGAACGGCAACAACAGAUGGAGCAGAAGCUCUGUGUUUAUUGUUGCCAGGCCGGCCACUUUCUGCCCAACUGUCCUAACAACUUAAACAGCCAGGCUCAUCAGUGACAGAGAGCACCCUGAUGAGCCACACCUCCUCUGUCCCCAGCUCUCCCAGACAUAUCUCUGUACCUGCUUGCCUCCUGUGGGGGAAAGAAUCUACGUCUCUCCAAACCCUGAUUGACUCCGGGGCGGACGACAACUUCAUUCAUGCCGGACUGGCAGUGUGGCUUCAGCUCCCGCUGGAGGUAUUCCCGGUUCCCCAUAAGGUCACCCGCUCUCGAUGGCAGGGUUAUGGCUAUCAUAACCCACUGCACUACUCCUCUCACCCUCAUCCUUUUGGGAAAACAUCAGGAGGACAUCCGGUUGUUCCUGCUCCCCUCUCCGCAUUCAUCCAUAGUGCUUGGACUCCCGUGGCUGCAGAUCCACAAUCCCCAAAUUAACCGGUCCACCGCUUUGAUCUCCGCCUGGAGUCCUAACUGCCAUUCUCACUGCCUCCGCUCCACCAAUCCCUUCAUCCAACGACAGAGGUCAGCACCGCUACCACCAUCUCUCGCCUCGGUCCCCCCUGUUUACCAUGAUCUGGCCAUGGUUUUUAAUAAAGACUAAUCUUUCGUCCUUCCUCCUCAUCGCCCCUAUGACUGCGCCAUAGAUUUGUUCCCUGGCACCCCUCUCCCCAGCAGCAGACUGUACAAUCUCUCUCGGCCCGAACGAGAAGCCAUGGAGAAAUACAUCCAGAAUUCUCUGACAUCUGGACUCAUCCGGCCCUCAUCCUCUCCACUUGCUGCAGGUUUUUUCUUUAUGAAAAAGAAAGAUUCCUCACUCUGUCCCUGCAUCGACUUCCGCAAAAUCACCGGAAAAAACAGAUAUCCCCUGCCACUGAUCGAUCCCUCCUUUGAAUCUCUCUGCAACACCACAGUCUUCUCUAAACUGGAUCUCCGUAAUGCCUAUCACCUGGUUCGCAUCAGAGAGGGCGACAAGUGGAAGACGGCCUUCAAUACACCCAUGGGCCACUUUGAGUACCUCGUCAUGCCCUUUGGCCUCAUCAAUGCCCCCGCUGUGUUCCAGGCUCUCAUUAAUGACGUCCUCCGCAACAUGAUCAAAAAAUUCGCCUUUGUUUAUCUGGACAACAUUCCGAUCUUCUCCCGCAACAUGGAAGAACACCAACAACAUGUUCGACUCGUCCUCCAGCGCCUCCUUGAGAACCGUCUCUUCGUCAAACCUGAGAAGUGCGAGUUCCAUGCCUCCUCCGUCAGCUUCCUGGGAUACAUCAUAGCCCGGGGGAGCUACAUCCAGACCUGGAGAAAGUCUGCGCCAUCCGUGACUGGCCCACUCCCUCCUCCCACAAAGACCUCCAGCGAUUCCUUGGCUUCACAAACUUUUACAGGAGGGUCAUCCGGAGCUACAGCAAGGUGGCUGUGCCUCUCACCCAUCUCUCAUCCCUCAAAGUCCCGUUAUCCUGGACCCCUGAAGCAGACGUCAACUUCUGUCAGCUCAAGUCCCUCUUCAGCUCCGCCCCGGUGCUUAAACACCUGGAUCCCUCUCUCCAAUUUGUGGUGGAGGUCGACGCUGGAGUGGGGGCCGUCCUCUCACAGAGGGAUUCCGAGACUCAGAAGCUCCAUCCCUGCGCCUACUUCUCCCGGAAACUCUCACCCACCAAGCACAAUUACGACGUGGGAAACUGUGAGUUGCUGACUGUUGUGUGGGCACUCCAAGAAUGGAGACAUUGGCUGGAAGGAGCACAACACCCUUUCCUCAUCUGGACUGACCACAAAAACCUGCAAUAUCUCUGUUCUGCUUGACGCCUCAACUCCAGGCAAGCUCGCUGGUCCCUCUUCCUCAGCAGAUUCUGCUUCACCCUCUCCUAUUGUCCCCGCUCCCGCAACCUCAAACCUGAUGCCCUAUCUCGGAUUCACUCCUCAGCUACCUCAGACCCCAGAGAACCGGACACAUCCUCCCUGCCUCCUGUAUCCUUGGCUCUGCCUCUUGGGAGAUCGACACCGUGGUGGACAGGGCCCUCCGGAAACAUCUGGACCCUGGAACCGGCCCUCCUGGUAGAAAGUUCAUCCCUGAGGUUGCAAGUUCCCAGGUCCUACAGUGGGGGCACUCCUCUAAACUCACCUGCCAACCUGGAUUUCAGCGCACCCUCCAAUUCCUUCAGCAGCGGUUCUGGUGGCCGGGGAUGGUCCGGGACAUAUGGGCGUUUGUUGCUGCCUGCUCCGUCCGUGCCCAAGGCAAAGCCUCCCAUCAACCUCCAUCUGGCUUGCUGCAUCCUCUGCCUGUGCCCUCACGCCCCCGGUCUCACAUAGCUCUAGAUUUGGUCACUGGUCUCCCCCCUUCUGAAGAUAACACAGUCAUACUCACCAUCAUAAACAGAUUUUCCAAAUUUGUGCAUUAUGUCCCAUUACCAGAGCUCCCGUCUGCUCUAGAAACUGCUAACCUCCUAGUGUCUCGUGUUCCAACUACAUGGUAUCCCCCUUGACAUAGUGUCAGAUCGUGGUCCCCAGUUCUCCUCCCAGGUCUGGAAAGCUUUCUGCCAGGCAGUGGGCGCGGCAGCUAGCCUCUCCUCGGGCUGAGGGCGGAGCGGGCCAGUCAAAACCUUGAGUCGGCUUUGCGGUGUGUUGCGGCCCAUCAUCCAGCAUCCUGAAGUACACACCUCCCAUGGAUCCAGUAUGCCCAUAACUCCCUCAUCUCCUCGGCCACAGGUCCCAUCUUGGAGGUCUUCCAGUCUGGUUUUAAAACUCGUCACAGCACAGAGUCUGCAUUAAUAAGAGUUUUUAAUGACAUCCUCCAGGCAAAUGACUCUGGUGAUUAUGUUAUUCUUGUUCUGUUAGAUCUAACUGCAGCUUUCGACACAGUGGACCACAAUACUCUGGUGGCUCGGCUACACCACCUUGUAGGUAUCCGUGGUACUGCACUAGAGUGGUUCAAGUCUUAUUUGACCUACAGAACAUUGAGUGUCAGCCUUGGAGAUACAAAGUCCAGCUCUGCUCCACUGCCGUAUGGGGUUCCACAAGGGUCGAUUUUAGGGCCUCUGCUCUUUUCUUUGUAUCUGCUGCCCCUGAGAUCCAUCCUUAGAAAGCAUGGCAUUACUUUUCAUUGUUAUGCUGAUGAUAUGUGCCACUUAAUAAGAAAAAUGCUUUCUCCUUCACUCCACUUCUGGCAUGUCUUGAAGACAUCAAAGCCUGGAUGGCUUUGAAUUUCUUAAAUUUUAAUGAGAGAAAAACAGAAGUGAUGGUCUUUGGUCCCAGUGGCCCUUGUGAAACCCCUCCUGUAGACUUGGGUAUUUUAGCAGACUAUUUAAAGCCAACCGUCUCAAAUCUGGAUUUUAAGAUGGACAGUGAUUUUAAAUUUGUCAGGCAAAUUAGCUCCAUAGUGAAAUCUAGCUUUUACCAUAUUAGGCAGCUGGCGAAGGCAAAGCCAUUCCUUGCACGUAAGCACUUUGAAACAGUAAUCCAUGCCUUUGUUACAUCUCUGCUGGACUACUGUAACGCACUGUAUUUUGGAGUCAGCCAGCCCUCCCUCUCACAUCUCCAGUUAGUACAAAACGCAGCUGCCCGGCUCUUAACUGGAGUAUGUAAGAGGGAGCAUAUUACUCCCAUCCUGGCCUCCCUCCACUGGUUACCCGUGCAUUUUAGAGUUCAUUUUAAGAUUCUUUUAUUUGUUUUUAAAUCUUUAAAUGGUCUGGCUCCAUCUUACCUCUCUGAGCUUCUCCACCCCUACACCCCUGCUCGGUGCCUCAGGUCAGCUGAUCAGCUGCUGCUGGAGGUAUCGAGGUCCAAAUUGAAGCUCAGAGAGGAUAGAUCUUUUUCUGUUGCAGCACCAAAAUUAUGGAACAAGCUACCCCUCCAAAUUAGACUAGCCCUCACACUGUCCAUUUUUAAAACUCGUCUUAAAACCCAUUUUUAUUCAUUGGCUUCUAACCCUGCAUGAGACUCGGCUCCUCUUUUAGUGUUUUAUGGUUUGUUUUUUAGUUAUUUGUUUCUAUGUUUUUAAAUUAGUUUUUUAAAAACAUUGAAACUAUAUUUUACUUUUUAAUUCUGCUUCGUUGUUUUGUCUAUUUAUGUACAGCACUUUGUUCAGCUGUGACUGUUUUAAAGUGCUUAACAAAUAAAGUGGAGUUGAGUUGAGAAUUACCCAAGCUCCCGUCUGCUCUUGAAACUGCUAAUCUCCUAGUGUCUCAUGUGUUCCAACUUCAUGGUAUCCCCAUCGACAUAGUGUCAGAUCGUGGUCCCCGGUUCUCCUCCCAGGUCUGAAAAGCUUUCUGCCAGGCAGUGGGCGUGGCAGCUAGCCCCUCCUCGGGCUACCACCCGAAGACCAACGGCCAGACGGAGCAGGCCAAUCAAAACCUCGAGUCGGCUUUGCGGUGUGUGGCAGCCCAUCAUCCAGCGUCCUGGAGUACUCACUUCCCGUGGAUCCAGUACGCUCUUAACUCCCUCACCUCCUCGGCCACAGGUAUGUCUCCCUUCAUGCGCUGUUUUGGGUACCAGCCCCCCCUGUUACCUGAACAGGAGCACCCGGUGGCUGUCCCGUCGGUGAGGGAGCACAUUGGGCAUCUACGGGAGGUGUUGAGAUCCGCCAGGGCCACACUCACCCGCACGGCCGAGCGCAACAAACGCCUGGCUGAUGUUCACCUCUCUCCAGCACCAGACUGUCGUCCCGGUCAGAUGGUCUGGUUAUCGUCCCGUGACCUUCCCCUGCAGACCGAGCCCCGCAAGCUGUCCCCCGCUUCAUCGGUCCCUUCCCUAUCCAGAAAAUUAUCAACCCAUCAGCGGUAAGACUGAAACUUCCCUCACCCCUCAAAAUUCACCCCACGUUUCAUGUCUCCCUGAUGAAGCCUGUCACCUUGUGCACCCUGAGCUCUCCUUCCGUCACCCCUCUACAUUCCACCCAAAUCAACUGAAGAAUGUUGCAAUGUUUUGCAAAAUAGUGUUGCCAGGGGACAGACUCAACAUCCUGAGGCACUAAUAAUAAUAUCGGGACACUUCAACCAUGUCACCCUCUCCUCUCACCUGACUGGAUUUACACAGUUUGUGAACUGUCCUACCAGAGAAAACAAGACCCUGGAUCUACUGUAUGCCAAUGUCAAAGAAGCCUACAGAGCCACUGCCUUACCACCACUGGGCAAGUCAGAUCAUAACUUGGUCUAUCUGCAAACCUGUUACAGACCUUGCGUACUGAGGCAGCCUGUGACCAAAGUCAAAAUCAGAAGAUGGACACCUCAAGCCAGUGAAGCUCUAAGGGACUGUUUUAAAUCAACAGACUGGAAUGUGCUGCUGAAAACAGAUGUGGAUAGUAUGAACAUUGACAAACAGGUUGACUGCUUUACUGAUUAUGUCAACUUCUGUAGAGACACAGUUAUAUCCACCAAAACUGUUCGUUGUUUCCCCAACAACAAACCCUGGAUCACAAGAGACAUAAAAGCAAUCCUUGACCAGAAAAAGACAGCUUUUGAAGAUGGAGACAAAGAACGACUCAAAUAAAUGCAACAAGAGUUGAAGAGGAGACUGAAGAUGGCAAAGCUGGAGUACAAAAAGAAGAUAGAGAAGAAUCUACAACACAGUAACAUCUGUGAAGUGUGGAGAGGAAUCAGUACCAUCUCUGGACACAGCAGUAAAAAAAAAGACAGCCAGUGGUGGGUGAUCUGGAAAGAGCUGAUAAACUCAAUCUGUUCUUCAACAGAUUUGACACUGCUGUCACACACACUCCCACUCCUACUCCACCUUCUUCUCCGCAACAAAUCUCCACUACAACUUCUCCCAUUCCUCCUCCAUCUCGUUCAAAUGUCUCAACCACUUCAACUGCCUCCCUCCUAGAACACCAGUCCUUGUCUGUCACUGAAACAGGGGUGAGGAUGGAGCUUGGAAGACUUUGUCCUGGGAAAGCAGCUGGUCCAGAUGGUGUGUGUCCAAGGCUGCUUAGAGACUGUGCUGCAGAACUGUGUCAACCUCUCCACAGGAUCUUCAACCUAAGUCAACAGCUGGGGCGGGUACCUACUCUGUGGAAAACAUCCUGCAUUGUGCCAGUACCAAAAACAAAAUAUCCUGCUGAACUCAAUGACUACAGACCAGUGGCCCUCACUUCACACAUCAUGAAAACCCUGGAGCGGCUAAUUCUAUGCCUUCUGAGGUCUGAGGUCAAAGACAAACUGGACUCCCUGCAGUUUUCAUACAAAGAACACAUUGGAGUGGAUGAUGCUGUCCUCUACAUGGUUUACCAUGCCCUGUCUCAUCUGGAGGAACCUGGGGUGUAUGUGAGGAUCAUGUUCUUUGACCUUUCAAGUGCAUUCAACACCAUCCAACCUACCAUACUCAAAGACAAGCUCACAGAGAUGGUAGUGGAUCCUUCCUGUGUUUCCUGGAUCACAGAUUACCUGACAGGAAAGCCACAGUUUGUCAGGCUGGGGAACUGUGUUUCUGGGACAUUAAGGAGCAGUACAGGGGCUCCACAAGGGACAGUGCUGGUGCCAUUCCUUUUCACACUGUAUACGUCAGACUUCAAAUACAGCACUGAGUCCUGCCACAUCCAGAAAUACUCAGAUGACACCGCUAUUGUGGCAUGUAUCAGAAAUGGACAAGAAGCUGAAUACAGAGAUCUAAUAGGAGCCUUCAGUGACUGGAGUCACAAAACCUGCCUCCUCCUCAACACCUCAAAGACAAAGGAGAUGGUCAUAGACUUCUGUAGAUCCAAACCCCCUCUUAAGCCAGUGAACACCUGUGGAGUGGACAUCGAAGUGGUGACAUCAUAUAAAUACCUAGGUGUACAUCUGGAUAAUAAGUUGGACUGGUCUAAGAAUAUAGACUUCAUCUACAGAAAGGGGCAGAGCCGCCUCUUUUGCCUGAGAAGACUCUGAUCAAUAGACAUCUGUAGUAAGAUGCUGCAGAUGUUUUAUCAGUCUGUGGUUGCAAGUGUUCUGUUCUACGUUACAGUCUGCUGGGGAGGAAGCAUCAAACACAAAGAUGAAAAACGUCAUAAGAAACUAGUGAAAAAGUCUGGCUCUGUGGUAGGACUCAAGCUGGACUCAGUGGAGGAAGUGGUGGAGAGAUCUACACUGAGGAAUGUGGAAUCUAUUCUAAAGAACAUGGAUCACCCACUUCACAACACCUUGAUGGACCAAAGGGCAAAUGGUGGUGGACGGACCCUCUCUCUUCGCUACAGGACAGAAAGAUUCAGAGGAUCUUUUGUACCAACAGCCAUCAGGCUUUAUAACUUCUAUGUAAAUAAUAGAUAACUCUUAUCGACAUAUUAUGUGAGACAACAGACAAUUGAAUUUCCCUUUGGGGAUCAAUAAAGUUCUUCUUAUUCUUCUUAUUCUUAUUCUGGAGUUUUGAUCAGAUCCAGCCAAAAUUCUGCAUAUUAUAACAUGCAUAUAACAAUGUAUGUAUUUCCAAAACUAUAAGGGCUACAGGCAUAAAUUUGGUACCUGCUGAAAGGUGUUUUAUAUUACAUUAUACAUUACCCAGGUGCUCUGCUGAGAAAAGAUACACGAGAAAAAAAAAAUUCUAUUUCCGCCUAUGAAUAUUUUUUAAAAAGAAGGCUAUAAAAGUCUUAAAUUUCAUCUGGACAACAAAUCAAACUAUUUUUUUCAGUUCUCCAAUGACUUAGGAAUAAAUCAGAAUGAUUUAGGGGUGCAGAGCAGUCAACAAGUAGUCCACAAGCCCCAUAAUAGCAAACAAGCACCAUACGAAAUUCAGGUAUUUCUGCUACAGGACUCCAUAGAUUAAAUGCAUGGUAACCACCACUAAGCUACCAGUCUGCAAGGGUAAAAACUAGGGAUGUGGAGCAACUCAAAAAAACUAACUAGAAAUUGCCUACCCGAUUUAUUGCGAUGGGUCAAUUUUGGGGUCAUCAGGACUAAUACAUCAGGAUAUCCUUUUUUGGGAUCAAUAAAGUUCUUAUCUUCUCUUAUCUUAUCUUGUCAUAUCUUGUCUUAUCUCACCGGGGGGGGGGGUUAAUGCAUGUGGAUGAAUUUUUGAUGAAAUCCAUCACUUUUUUGAGUCCUGCUGACCCACCAGAACCCCCAAGAUUUCUACCUCAAGGUUUACAAAUGAGCCACUGCAUGUAACCACUCAGCUGGACCAGUACAGACAUGGUGGAUGUCAACCUGCUAGGGCGAACAGCUGGUGGUGCUAAGUCAUGUUAACAUUAGCCACAUUCAACAAGCCAAUCUGAUAUUGGUCUGUGGCCUGCAGUUUUGCCUUGUUGAAUAAAUCUUUUACUCAUAGAAUGUUUUCUUACAUUGAGAUUAGUCACUUAUUCAAGGCUUAUAUACAGUAUCUGUGUUAAUAACCUGGAAAUAGUCCUCAGGCACAUCAUCACAUUACACGGUCUAACUGAUUGCCAACCUUGCUACUCAAGCUAAAAGUUGACACUUUGAGAAAAACGUCAUCAUUAUAGAUGGAUUCAAAAUGAGGGUUGACACCUCAUGCACCUGGACCAUAAAUCCCAUCCCCCACCUCCCCUUUCCCAGCAUUCAUCGUCCUCCCUUUCGACUCCUUGUAACACGAACACAUCAUUCAUUCGUUUCCAGCCCCUGGUCCAAUUAAAGAAGUGAAAUCAAAGGAAUUCAUUCCCUCUCUUUUCAUCUGGUUGUCAUUCGCAGACAAAGGUUGACAAGCCCUCUGACAGCUCCCUUGUUAUUAGCAAUGCUGUUGCUAUAGUAACAGCUCCACUUUACUCUGGUCAAAAUAUUUCUCUAACCACUCUUAAACAAAAAAAAUGUCUGUCAUUCAACAAUAGUGCUCAGAUACACCACACAGAAGCACCAAGGUCGUUUUGCACAUGCCUGGUUGGUCCCUGCAGAAAGGAAAUGAAAAGCAGGAAAGCAACAUUUCUCAUUUGAAUCACAUUAGAAUAAAACCAAAAGUUUAUGUAACAUAUGUUUGAAUACCAAUGCUGCCUUGGCUCAAAGGAUUCCUACCAGGGGGUGUAUUGCCCUUGACUAUUUAAUGGUGGUGGUCAAAAGGUCAUUAUUCCCUCUGGUGGGCAAGGUAAGUUGAGACAAUAAAAAAUGCAUUAGUGAGGCUGUUUUUCUGCUCUCCACACUUCCUUUUUCAGUGUUAGUACCAUCUAUCUGCUCCCUCUACUGGGUCUCAUUACCAUGUAGAGACACUCACCUCCACUCAUCGCAGUGAUCAGUCUCCUCCAGCUCCACACAGUCAAGAGCUGCUGUUCAGGAGCUUUUAUAUCUUGUUUCUUUUCUUCUCCUGCCUCAUGAGCCUUUCUAAUAUUCAUAAUUUCCUUGGGCCCACGUGGGACAUAUUUUCUUUGCAUCCUUUAUAUUCAAUGAUAACCGAACAAAGAACUGUUUUUUUUAAAGCAUGGUGAGGGGAGGGGUUUUUAUCCUCAGACUGAAAUAAGAUGAUGAAAUGGAAAGUAAAAGUGAUAAAACUUAAAUACUUACAACACAGGUAUCCAGAGGUUCACUGCUCUUAAAUCACAGUGUAUUCAUACAGGGUUUCUGCUAAAGAAUGUGUUGCAACAUAUUUUGCAAAGUAAGAUAAACUGGAAGUAAAAGCACAAUCACUCUGCAGGCAAAGCUACCUAAAUCUGAUUUUUUGCUCCAAUCUAAAUUAUCUGAUCUGUUUUGGGACAAGUUGAACAUCAAAGGUCACAUAAAAUCUGUUUCAGGCAUCCCCUGAAGAGCGAGAAAAGAGGCUGCAUGAGCAGCAUGCUGUUCAUUGGUCUGACACCUGCUGACAUCUAUAAUAAUAAUAAUAAUAAUAAUACAUUUUAUUUAUAAAGCGCUUUUCAAAAACACAAAGACGCUGUACAGAAUUAGGCAAUAAAAACACACAUCAAUAAGUAAUAAAAUUUUCGGCAAUAUAAUAAAAACAUGUAGAAUCAGGUAAAAUCCAAAUAACAAUAAAACACACAUCAAUAAGUAAUAAAAUUUACGACAAUGUCAGUAAAAACAUGUAGAAUCAGGUAAAAUCCGAUGGGGGGGGUCUAGGAAGGAUGAAAGGCAGUGCGGAAGAGGUGGGUUUUGAGGAGGGUUUUGAAUCUGGUGAGGUCAGUGCAGUUUCUGAGUUCGAGUGGGAGUGAGUUCCAGAGGGUGGGGGCGGCGGCUGAGAAGGCUCUGUCCCCCCAGGUUCGGUGCUUGGUCAGGGGAACUGUGAGGAGGUUGGCAUUGGCGGAGCGGAGGGUGCGGGAGGGGAUGUAGGGGUGGAGAAGAUCCUGUAGGUAGGGGGGGGCGAGGUUGUGGAGUGGUUUGUGGGUGAGGAGGAGGAUUUUGUAUUGAAUGCGGUGGGGUAUGGGGAGCCAGUGAAGGUUUUGGAGGACGGGGGUGAUGUGUUGAUGGGAGCGUGUGUGGGUGAGGAGGCGGGCGGCUGAGUUCUGGAUGAGCUGAAGUUUAUUGAGGAGAGUGGAGGUGGUGCCAUAAAAGAGACUGUUGCAGUAAUCAAGACGAGAUGAAAUGAAUGCAUGUAUAAGGGUUUCAGCUGCAGGGUAGGAGAGGGAGGGGCGGAGGCGGGCAAUGUUUUUGAGGUGGAAGUAGGCUGUUUUAGUGAUUUGCUUUAUGUGGUGGGUGAAGGAGAGGUUGCUGUCGAAGAAAAUGCCAAGGUUGCGACAGUGGGAGGAGGGGGAGAGGAUGGAGUUGUCGAUGGAGAGAUGAAAGUUUGUGACUGUGGAGGUGAGGGAGUUUGGGCCAAUGAUGAUGAGAUCUGUUUUGUCAUAAUUGAGCUUAAGAAGAUUGCUGUCCAUCCAGUGUUUGAUGUCAGAGAGGCAGUUUGAGAGGGAGUGUUGGGUCUGGGGGGUGAUGGAGUUGGAAGAGAUAUAUAAUUGAAUGUCAUCAGCAUAGCAGUGGAAGUGGAGGUUGUGUUGACGGAGGAUGUGGCCAAGAGGGAGGAGGUAGAUGAUGAAGAGGAGGGGACCAAGCACCGAGCCCUGGGGGACACCUUGGGACACGGGGGCGGUUGUGGAGGAGCAGUUGUUAAUAUGGAUGAAGUGAUUCCGGUCUGUGAGGUAAGAGUGGAUCCAGUUAAGAGCAGUGUCUGUGAUAUUGAGGAGGGAGUGUAGGCGGGACAGAAGGAUGGCAUGGUCGAUGGUGUCGAAAGCAGCGGAGAGGUCGAGGAGGAUGAGGAUGGAGAGUUGGCCAGAGUCAGCAGAGAUGAGGAGGUCAUUUGUCACUUUGAUGAGAGCAGUUUCGGUGCUGUGGUGGGUGCGGAAUCCUGAUUGGAACUGUUCAUAUAGGUUGUUAUUGUUGAGGUGGGUUUUGAUUUGUGAUGCGAUGACACGUUCGAGGAUUUUUGACAGGAAAGGGAGGUUGGAGAUGGGCCGGAAGUUACUGAUGUCAUCGGGGUUGAGUCCAGGUUUUUUGAGGAUGGGGGUGACAGCAGCCAGUUUGAGUGACGGGGGAACAGUGGCGGAGUUGAGGGAGGAGUUGAUGAUCUGUGUUAUGAUGGGGGAGAUGACGGGGAGGCAGUGCUUGAUGAGGGAAGAUGGGAUGGGAUCCAGGAUACAGGUGGAUGAAGACAUGGAGCAGAUGAUAUUAGUUACGUCAGUUGAGGAGACAGGUGAGAAGCAGGAGAGUGCUGAUGGGAUGAGGGGAGGAGGGGAGGAGCAGGGAAUGGAGGGUGGGGGAAGGGAGUUAUAGAUUGCGUUGAUUUUGUUUUGAAAAGAGGAGAGGAAUGUGUUGCAUUUUUCCGGGGUGAAGGUGAUGGAGGUACUGUCUAUGGGGUGGAGCAGUUUUUUGACGGUGGAGAAAAGAGCCUUUUGGUUACUGGAGCCGGAGUUGAUGAGGUUGGAGUAAUAGGAUGAGCGGGCGGAUUUGAGGGCUGUUCUGUAUAGGUGUAGGUGGUCGGUGUAGGCUUGGAGAUGGACAGUGAGGCCGGUUUUGCGGUGUAGACGUUCCAGUUGGCGUUUAUGGGAUUUCAUUUUGUGUAGUUCUGAAGUAUACCAGGGGGCAGAGUGUCUGAAUGAAACUGUUUUUGUUUUGAGAGGUGCGAGCUGGUCCAGGCAGGAGGAUACAGUGUUGUUGUAGUAGCUGAGUAGGUCAGGAAGUUUAGCAGAUGGUGAGGGAGGGGAUGCAGUGAGGGUGGCAGAUAGGGAAGCGGAGAGGUCCUGUGGUGAGAUGGAUUUGAGGUUUCUGAAGGUAAUUUGUCGUUUUUCACUGUGAGGCAGAGGGGGGGGUCGACGUUGAAAGUGACAGCCAGGUGAUCAGAUAUAUAGAGGUUGGUGGUGGAGAGAUGGUGGAUGGAGAUGCCGGUGGAGCAGACGAGGUCGAGGGUGUGGCCAUGGGAGUGGGUGGGGGAGUGCACAUGCUGGGUGAGAUUGAGGGUGUCGAGCAGAUCCAGGAAAUCAGAUGCUUGUUUGCAGGUGGGGUUGUCAAUGUGAAAGUUGAAGUCUCCAAGCAGCAGGACAGAGGAUGAGAUGGUGUUUAGGUGGGUGACAAAUUCAGUGAAAUCAGAGAGGAAUGAUGGGUGGUGCUUUGGGGGACGGUAGAUAUUAACAAUGACCAGAGGGGUGGGACCGGGGAGUUUGACAGAGAUAUUUUCAAAUGAGUGGACGGACAGGGUGGGGGCGGGGGUGGUCUUGAGGGUUUGUUUGUAAAUGACUGCGACGCCUCCGCCUCGUCCAGUGAGGCGGGGUUGGUGCAGGUAGGAGUAACCGGGGGGGGGUGGCUUGGUUGAGUGGAAAGAGGUCGAGAUGGUUGUGCCAGGUUUCAGUUAGAUAGAGGAAGUCCAGGUUAUUGUCUGUUAUGAAGUCAGCUAGGAUGUGUCCUUUGUUAUUGAGGGAGCGGGUGUUUUGAAGGGCCAUCUUCAGGGGAGGGGGCUGUGGGGUGGGCAGUGAGGCAGGGGGAAGGCAGCGGAGAUUUGUUAGAUUUCUUGUCCUUUUUGGAUGCAUGGGAUUUGAAUGGGAGGGUCCAGUAGUUGUAAUUGUUUUAAUUGUUUGCAAUUGUUUGCAAGGAGAGUCUAUGGUUGAAGGGUGUAGUAGCUGUUUGGACCAGGAGGGGGAGCUUGAUGUGGUGGGGGCGAUGGGGUUGGUGCGCAGUACCAGUUGGGGCCUGUUGGGGGAGCCGGUGGUGAGGGUGGUGGGGGCGAGGGUUCCGGAGGGGGGCCUCUGGGGGGCGCUGUUUCCAGGUGGGGUAGUGGGAGAGGAUGACAGGGAGUAUGUAAAUAGUGAUAGUCAGUUGGUGUGUAUGUGGUGUUGGAUAUUAGCGGCAAGUGUCUGAUGGCCCAGUUUGUUUGGGUGAAGUCCGUCAUUAGAAAAGAAUGGGGGUCGGUUCCAGAACAGGUUGAAAUUGUCAACCUGGGGGGACUCAGCGGUGCGGUGGAUGCCAGCGGCUGUGGGGAUGGUCUGCCACUUCGGUCCGGGGCAGCUGAAGCGGGCCCGGCGGAGUUCCGUCGGACUGCCUCCCGGAGAAACCUCCUGCGGGCGGCCGAGGACGCGGGCCGGCUCUCCGAGCGGUGGUCAAGGCGGGUUCCGGGACACCGCGCGCGACCAGGGACAGUGAUUUCAAACAUUCAAACAUAUCCAUACAGAAACAUGAACUCUUCUUGUUGAUGCUUGCCUUUUUUGGGUCAUUAUUUAUUGAUAAUGUGUCAUUAUCACGAAAAACUCCUCACAGGAGCUUACACCCACAGUAGCUUCAAACUUGUUAGUCAGAAAUCCAACAAUAUGGAUGCUUAUUUGUACAGCUCAGCGAAAUUGUUGAAGUUGUUUGUAUGACCUUUGGCUCCCCUGCUCCUGUAAACCAAAACAACAGGGGAAAAAACACUCAUUUGCAUUUAUGUUGUAUUGUUUUUUGGUAUUGCAAGACUUUAAAGAAAGCAAAGAGUUGUUAAUUGGCACCGUGGGGCCACAUCUGGGGUGCAUGUAUGGGCUUGUUUGCAGUAAAUUUUAAAAAAGAACUUUAUUUUUUUCUGUUGUCUCUUUCUUACCUUCAUUCCAACAGUUUGGUUGACUUGUUUUGCUCAAGGAGAGACAGUUAAAAGUCUUCUUUAUUCAUCCUCCACUAUAAUGGAGAUAGAAACUUAAGAAUCCUUAUGUCAUUUGUCAGUAUUAAGUUUGCCAAGAAGCAACAGAGGGCAACUUUGAGCCUGCAAUCAUCCAUUUUCACUUAAUUUUCUCCCACAUUUUUUCCAGCUAAUUAGUCUUCCUCCCAUUUGAGACACAUUGUUCUGCUUUAAAGGCCAGUUCCAGCAGAAAUAUACCAUGCUCCAUGCUAACACACUGUAAUAAAUGACUUUCUCCCUGCCCCCCAUUUUCAUUUUAUGGACACUUUUCACCGUCUGUUUCUCUCCUGUGUGCUGGUAUUUUCCUUGUUAAAAUGAGCUCUUAUUGACAUUUACUGAGGAAAUAAGCAAAAAUGUCAGCGCUUGCACCUCCAAUAGUGUUCUUAUCUGUAUUUGAAGAGUUUUUUUACGUUCAAGAGUGGAAAAACUUUUUUACCAAUUUGCAGCUCAGUAUUCCUGGAGCCGGCAGUGGCAGGGAGACAGCAACACUUUGUAAAGCCCUCUGUCACACUCAGGUUUCUCUUUUUCCUCACACACAGAAACACAUGCACAUUUCUAAACAUAAAGUUAGUCAAGAGAGGCAGGAGAGCGCUGAGUGCAUAGAAAAGCUAAUUUUGAAUAGGCAUAACGGUCAUACACUUGGACAUAAGCAGGGACCAUUGAGUUCACCAGCACUGAGUUUGAUGGCUUUAAUCAGAACUACUGCAUUGACUUUGAAUUGUCAUAUUUUCUGUGUCUGAUGUGUUUGUACUGUGGAAACACCUUUAUGUAUUGCAUGGUCAUUUAGAGCACUUACAGAGUGUUAAUGUUUUUCUACUGUUUGGCAUGAUAAAUUCAAUAGUUUAGACCCAACAGAGGCCCAUUGUAUGUCAUACACAUGUAAAAUUCAACCUUAUGAUCUUGAGGCAAAAAUCAGGAAAUAUAGCCUAACUAUCUUUGAUGUGAAGAGUAUAGAGCUUUAGUUGUGAUUAGAUCUCUGCUGUGCCUUGUGUAUAAAUGUACCUGUUUCUUUACUUGGAAAUUCCCUGUGCUUUGUAGAGGUUAGCUAUCUGGUACAGCCUUUCCAGUUUGACAUUUCUGUUUAACUCCUGCCCUUGCCGUUGUGAUUAUGUGGUUUUAUUUUGUUUUUGUUUGUUUUUGUUUGUUUUAUUUUCUUGUUUGUUUGUUUUGUUUUUACAAGAAACACUGUAGAAACAGUUGCUUUGUUGCUAUAAAUCAAAUUUGUCCCCCAUGUCUGACCACCAUAGAAGUUGCUUUGCAUUUAGGAUGUGUUUGUUGUGCUUCCUUCUUCAAUCACUAUGUUUCUUAAGGUCCCUUACCAAAAAAAGUAUAUUUUUAGAAGUGUGCGGAAGUUCAUUUUAGUAUACUUUGAUACAAAUACACUACCGCUGUACUUACAAGUAAACUUCUUGGGACUACAUUGGCCCAGUUUUAGUUCAUCAAAGUACACUUGAA